CUUAUAUAUAGUAGUAUAUGCCUGAUCUGUUAAAGUGACAUGAACCGACGUGGAGAGGUGUGUUCUCCUGAACAAGAGCGAUAUCUACAUUUUUGCAUUCAUGUCCCUUAGUAGGAGUCUACACUUUUUUGGGGCAUUUAACAUUAAUAGAGAGUAGUUUAAUAGCCAUACUGGCUGUAGGGGGAGUGAGCAAUGUUUAUAGG